UCCGGUUUGGCACCGGCAGUCUCCCAUGAGUCCCCGGCAUGACCCGCUGGCAACAUGGGACAGGGGUUGCGCUCGUUGCGCCACUUAAGGCAACACCUCACGGCACGAGCUGACGACAGCCAUGCAGCACCUGUGCGGGCUCCCGUAGGAGGACCGUGUUUCCACGGCUUCACCCCGCAUGUCAAGCCCUGGUAAGGUGGGGAUGACGUUCCAAGGUUGGUU
rnacentral:misc_RNA from 1 species